rnacentral:rRNA from 1 species
GAUGAACGCUGGCGGCGUGCCUAAUACAUGCAAGUCGAGCGAACGGACGAGAAGCUUGCUUCUCUGAUGUUAGCGGCGGACGGGUGAGUAACACGUGGAUAACCUACCUAUAAGACUGGGAUAACUUCGGGAAACCGGAGCUAAUACCGGAUAAUAUUUUGAACCGCAUGGUUCAAAAGUGAAAGACGGUCUUGCUGUCACUUAUAGAUGGAUCCGCGCUGCAUUAGCUAGUUGGUAAGGUAACGGCUUACCAAGGCAACGAUGCAUAGCCGACCUGAGAGGGUGAUCGGCCACACUGGAACUGAGACACGGUCCAGACUACUGAGGGACGCAGCAGUAGGGAAUCGUCCGCAAUGGUCGAAAGCCUGACGGAGCAACGCCGAGUGAGUGAUGAAGGUCUUCGGAUCGGAAAACUCUGUUAUUAGGGAAGAACAUAUGUGUAAGUAACUGUGCACAUCUUGACGGUACCUAAUCAGAAAGCCACGGCUAACUACGUG